ACCAGCAAUUUGGAAGAAUGUAUAGCAAUAGCUAGUUGCAUAACGUUAUGCAAUAUCAAUUAUAUUGAAUAAAGUUCUGAGUAAAUCUAGAUUAUGACUUAAUUUACUCACGUGUAUUGACUAAAAUGCGUGCCAGCAGUCGCGGUAAGACGUAUAAUACUUGUGUUAUUCAUCUUUAGCAGGUUUAAAGGGUACUUAGACGGUAGAUCAAGCUAUAACAAGGACUAGUCUGCUAGGGUUACUUAUAAAGGGGCUUUAAAGUACUAAUGGAGUAGAGAUAAAAUGCUAAUAUACCUUUUUUUGAAAAAGAUAAAAUGGCACUGAUAAAGGCGAAAGCAUCUCCUUAUGUGAUAACUGACGUUAAAGGACGAAGGCUUUGUGUUGCGAAUAGGAUUAGAUACCCUAGUAGUCGAAGCAGAGAAUGAUGAGUGCCAUAGAUUGGAGUAAGUUUAAUCUAUAAAUGAAAGUGUAAGCACUCCACCUUAAGAAUAAUGUGGCAACACCGAAAUUGAAAUCAUUAGACCGUUUCUGAA
rnacentral:rRNA from 1 species